AGACAGUCAAGCUGAUAGCCUACUUGUUCUAGCACAGACAUUGUUUAACUGUGACAAUAGUGGGCCUGUAUUCCUUGCCAUGGGGUGCAAUGUAGUAUGUCAUCACAAUGGUUAGUUCUCUGAUUUGUGCCCAGUUGUUAGUAAAGCUUGUAGUGCCUCUUAAAAUGUUAGUAUCAUGUUAGUGUCAUUUCCCCCUUACCAUUCUUUUCCUUUUCUUUCUUUUUUUUUUAAAAAGACAGUAUUUCAUUUUGUCCUCCAGGCUGAGUGCAGUGGCAAACUGCUGGGCUCAAGUGAUACCCCCACCUCAGCCUGAGUAGCUGAGACUAUAGGUGUACACCACCACAGCUGGCUUUUUGUUUUUCCUUCGGUAGAGAUGUGGCUUCCCUAUGUUAUGUUGUCCAAGCUGAUCUCGAACUCCUGGCCUCAAGCAGUCAUCCUGCCCCAGCCUCCUAGAGUGCUGGGAUUACAGGCAUGAGCCACUGCACCUGGCCUGUCAUUCCUGUUUUUGUGUAUACGGUCCAUGUGGUCUUAAAACCUUUCCUGAACGUGUCUCAGUUGAAUUUCCCAAGAACCUUGUGGGCUGGGUUUAGUGGCGGAUAUUACUAAUAUUUUACAGAUAAGGGGAACUACUGAAAUGCAGAAAGGUGGCAAGCAUACAGCUCAUUAUUGUGGUGCCAGAAUCAAAAUACAAGUUUCAAACUCCAUCACUGGGAAGUUGAGCUUUCCAGUGUCUCAUGCUAUGUUUGGCUCAGUGGGUAGACAUCCUUGUUCCUAACCAAUGCUGUAGAACUAUCACCUGAGAAAUGAUGCAAGUUUUUACUGCCAGCCAAGAGACAGUGUUGCCAUUCCAGUUAGUAGGAGAGGAAAUGCCAGUUCUUCAGGGCAUUUUGACACAAAUAGGACAAGUUGCACACAUAAUGUUAUUUAAACAUCCAGAAAGAGUUGUCUUUAAAUAUAGCCAUGCUUAUUUAUAACCC
rnacentral:lncRNA from 1 species